rnacentral:rRNA from 1 species
UGAAACCGUGUGCUUACAAGUAGUCAGAGCCCGUUAAUGGGUGAUGGCGUGCCUUUUGUAGAAUGAACCGGCGAGUUACGAUUUGAUGCAAGGUUAAGCAGUAAAUGUGGAGCCGUAGCGAAAGCGAGUCUGAAUAGGGCGUUUAGUAUUUGGUCGUAGACCCGAAACCAGGUGAUCUACCCUUGGUCAGGUUGAAGUUCAGGUAACACUGAAUGGAGGACCGAACCGACUUACGUUGAAAAGUGAGCGGAUGAACUGAGGGUAGCGGAGAAAUUCCAAUCGAACCUGGAGAUAGCUGGUUCUCUCCGAAAUAGCUUUAGGGCUAGCCUCAAGUGAUGAUUAUUGGAGGUAGAGCACUGUUUGGACGAGGGGCCCCUCUCGGGUUACCGAAUUCAGACAAACUCCGAAUGCCAAUUAAUUUAACUUGGGAGUCAGAACAUGGGUGAUAAGGUCCGUGUUCGAAAGGGAAACAGCCCAGACCACCAGCUAAGGUCCCAAAAUAUAUGUUAAGUGGAAAAGGAUGUGGCGUUGCCCAGACAACUAGGAUGUUGGCUUAGAAGCAGCCAUCAUUUAAAGAGUGCGUAAUAGCUCACUAGUCGAGUGACACUGCGCCGAAAAUGUACCGGGGCUAAACAUAUUACCGAAGCUGUGGAUUGUCCUUUGGACAAUGGUAGGAGAGCGUUCUAAGGGCGUUGAAGCAUGAUCGUAAGGACAUGUGGAGCGCUUAGAAGUGAGAAUGCCGGUGUGAGUAGCGAAAGACGGGUGAGAAUCCCGUCCACCGAUUGACUAAGGUUUCCAGAGGAAGGCUCGUCCGCUCUGGGUUAGUCGGGUCCUAAGCUGAGGCCGACAGGCGUAGGCGAUGGAUAACAGGUUGAUAUUCCUGUACCACCUAUAAUCGUUUUAAUCGAUGGGGGGACGCAGUAGGAUAGGCGAAGCGUGCGAUUGGAUUGCACGUCUAAGCAGUAAGGCUGAGUAUUAGGCAAAUCCGGUACUCGUUAAGGCUGAGCUGUGAUGGGGAGAAGACAUUGUGUCUUCGAGUCGUUGAUUUCACACUGCCGAGAAAAGCCUCUAGAUAGAAAAUAGGUGCCCGUACCGCAAACCGACACAGGUAGUCAAGAUGAGAAUUCUAAGGUGAGCGAGCGAACUCUCGUUAAGGAACUCGGCAAAAUGACCCCGUAACUUCGGGAGAAGGGGUGCUCUUUAGGGUUAACGCCCAGAAGAGCCGCAGUGAAUAGGCCCAAGCGACUGUUUAUCAAAAACACAGGUCUCUGCUAAACCGUAAGGUGAUGUAUAGGGGCUGACGCCUGCCCGGUGCUGGAAGGUUAAGAGGAGUGGUUAGCUUCUGCGAAGCUACGAAUCGAAGCCCCAGUAAACGGCGGCCGUAACUAUAACGGUCCUAAGGUAGCGAAAUUCCUUGUCGGGUAAGUUCCGACCCGCACGAAAGGCGUAACGAUUUGGGCACUGUCUCAACGAGAGACUCGGUGAAAUCAUAGUACCUGUGAAGAUGCAGGUUACCCGCGACAGGACGGAAAGACCCCGUGGAGCUUUACUGUAGCCUGAUAUUGAAAUUCGGCACAGCUUGUACAGGAUAGGUAGGAGCCUUUGAAACGUGAGCGCUAGCUUACGUGGAGGCGCUGGUGGGAUACUACCCUAGCUGUGUUGGCUUUCUAACCCGCACUACUUAUCGUGGUGGGAGACAGUGUCAGGCGGUCAGUUUGACUGGGGCGGUCGCCUCCUAAAAGGUAACGGAGGCGCUCAAAGGUUCCCUCAGAAUGGUUGGAAAUCAUUCAUAGAGUGUAAAGGCAUAAGGGAGCUUGACUGCGAGACCUACAAGUCGAGCAGGGUCGAAAGACGGACUUAGUGAUCCGGUGGUUCCGCAUGGAAGGGCCAUCGCUCAACGGAUAAAAGCUACCCCGGGGAUAACAGGCUUAUCUCCCCCAAGAGUUCACAUCGACGGGGAGGUUUGGCACCUCGAUGUCGGCUCAUCGCAUCCUGGGGCUGUAGUCGGUCCCAAGGGUUGGGCUGUUCGCCCAUUAAAGCGGUACGCGAGCUGGGUUCAGAACGUCGUGAGACAGUUCGGUCCCUAUCCGUCGUGGGCGUAGGAAAUUUGAGAGGAGCUGUCCUUAGUACGAGAGGACCGGGAUGGACAUACCUCUGGUGUACCAGUUGUCGUGCCAACGGCAUAGCUGGGUAGCUAUGUGUGGACGGGAUAAGUGCUGAAAGCAUCUAAGCAUGAAGCCCCCCUCAAGAUGAGAUUUCCCAACUUCGGUUAUAAGAUCCCUCAAAGA